GGGUUGUGAGGUUAAGCGACUAAGCGUACACGGUGGAUGCCCUGGCAGUCAGAGGCGAUGAAGGGCGUGCUAAUCUGCGAUAAGCGCCGGUAAGGUGAUAUGAACCGUUAUAACCGGCGAUACCCGAAUGGGGAAACCCAGUGUGAUUCGUCACACUAUCAUUAACUGAAUCCAUAGGUUAAUGAGGCGAACCGGGGGAACUGAAACAUCUAAGUACCCCGAGGAAAAGAAAUCAACCGAGAUUCCCCCAGUAGCGGCGAGCGAACGGGGAGGAGCCCAGAGCCUGAAUCAGCAUGUGUGUUAGUGGAAGCGUCUGGAAAGGCGCGCGAUACAGGGUGACAGCCCCGUACACAAAAGCGCAUGUGCUGUGAGCUCGAUGAGUAGGGCGGGACACGUGGUAUCCUGUCUGAAUAUGGGGGGACCAUCCUCCAAGGCUAAAUACUCCUGACUGACCGAUAGUGAACCAGUACCGUGAGGGAAAGGCGAAAAGAACCCCGGCGAGGGGAGUGAAAAAGAACCUGAAACCGUGUACGUACAAGCAGUGGGAGCACAGGUUUACCUGUGUGACUGCGUACCUUUUGUAUAAUGGGUCAGCGACUUAUAUUCUGUAGCAAGGUUAACCGUAUAGGGGAGCCGUAGGGAAACCGAGUCUUAACCGGGCGUUAAGUUGCAGGGUAUAGACCCGAAACCCGGUGAUCUAGCCAUGGGCAGGUUGAAGGUUGGGUAACACUAACUGGAGGACCGAACCGACUAAUGUUGAAAAAUUAGCGGAUGACCUGUGGCUGGGGGUGAAAGGCCAAUCAAACCGGGAGAUAGCUGGUUCUCCCCGAAAGCUAUUUAGGUAGCGCCUCGUGAAUUCAUCUCCGGGGGUAGAGCACUGUUUCGGCUAGGGGGCCAUCCCGGCUUACCAACCCGAUGCAAACUGCGAAUACCGGAGAAUGUUAUCACGGGAGACACACGGCGGGUGCUAACGUCCGUCGUGAAGAGGGAAACAACCCAGACCGCCAGCUAAGGUCCCAAAGUCAUGGUUAAGUGGGAAACGAUGUGGGAAGGCCCAGACAGCCAGGAUGUUGGCUUAGAAGCAGCCAUCAUUUAAAGAAAGCGUAAUAGCUCACUGGUCGAGUCGGCCUGCGCGGAAGAUGUAACGGGGCUAAACCAUGCACCGAAGCUGCGGCAGCGACACUGUGUGUUGUUGGGUAGGGGAGCGUUCUGUAAGCCUGUGAAGGUGUGUCGUGAGGCAUGCUGGAGGUAUCAGAAGUGCGAAUGCUGACAUAAGUAACGAUAAAGCGGGUGAAAAGCCCGCUCGCCGGAAGACCAAGGGUUCCUGUCCAACGUUAAUCGGGGCAGGGUGAGUCGACCCCUAAGGCGAGGCCGAAAGGCGUAGUCGAUGGGAAACGGGUUAAUAUUCCCGUACUUGGUGUUACUGCGAAGGGGGGACGGAGAAGGCUAUGUUGGCCGGGCGACGGUUGUCCCGGUUUAAGCGUGUAGGUGUGUGUUCCAGGUAAAUCCGGUUCACUUUAACACUGAGGCGUGAUGACGAGGCACUACGGUGCUGAAGCAACAAAUGCCCUGCUUCCAGGAAAAGCCUCUAAGCAUCAGGUAACAUCAAAUCGUACCCCAAACCGACACAGGUGGUCAGGUAGAGAAUACCAAGGCGCUUGAGAGAACUCGGGUGAAGGAACUAGGCAAAAUGGUGCCGUAACUUCGGGAGAAGGCACGCUGACACGUAGGUGAAGUGAUUUACUCAUGGAGCUGAAGUCAGUCGAAGAUACCAGCUGGCUGCAACUGUUUAUUAAAAACACAGCACUGUGCAAACACGAAAGUGGACGUAUACGGUGUGACGCCUGCCCGGUGCCGGAAGGUUAAUUGAUGGGGUCAGCGCAAGCGAAGCUCCUGAUCGAAGCCCCGGUAAACGGCGGCCGUAACUAUAACGGUCCUAAGGUAGCGAAAUUCCUUGUCGGGUAAGUUCCGACCUGCACGAAUGGCGUAAUGAUGGCCAGGCUGUCUCCACCCGAGACUCAGUGAAAUUGAACUCGCUGUGAAGAUGCAGUGUACCCGCGGCAAGACGGAAAGACCCCGUGAACCUUUACUAUAGCUUGACACUGAACAUUGAGCCUUGAUGUGUAGGAUAGGUGGGAGGCUUUGAAGCGUGGACGCCAGUCUGCGUGGAGCCGACCUUGAAAUACCACCCUUUAAUGUUUGAUGUUCUAACGUGGACCCGUAAUCCGGGUUGCGGACAGUGUCUGGUGGGUAGUUUGACUGGGGCGGUCUCCUCCUAAAGAGUAACGGAGGAGCACGAAGGUUGGCUAAUCCUGGUCGGACAUCAGGAGGUUAGUGCAAUGGCAUAAGCCAGCUUGACUGCGAGCGUGACGGCGCGAGCAGGUGCGAAAGCAGGUCAUAGUGAUCCGGUGGUUCUGAAUGGAAGGGCCAUCGCUCAACGGAUAAAAGGUACUCCGGGGAUAACAGGCUGAUACCGCCCAAGAGUUCAUAUCGACGGCGGUGUUUGGCACCUCGAUGUCGGCUCAUCACAUCCUGGGGCUGAAGUAGGUCCCAAGGGUAUGGCUGUUCGCCAUUUAAAGUGGUACGCGAGCUGGGUUUAGAACGUCGUGAGACAGUUCGGUCCCUAUCUGCCGUGGGCGCUGGAGAACUGAGGGGGGCUGCUCCUAGUACGAGAGGACCGGAGUGGACGCAUCACUGGUGUUCGGGUUGUCAUGCCAAUGGCACUGCCCGGUAGCUAAAUGCGGAAGAGAUAAGUGCUGAAAGCAUCUAAGCACGAAACUUGCCCCGAGAUGAGUUCUCCCUGAGACUUAGAGUCUCCUGAAGGAACGUUGAAGACGACGACGUUGAUAGGCCGGGUGUGUAAGCGCAGCGAUGCGUUGAGCUAACCGGUACUAAUGAACCGUGAGGCUUAACCUUACAACGCCGAAG
rnacentral:rRNA from 1 species